rnacentral:rRNA from 1 species
AACCAAGAAAUUUAGUCAUUCUUUUACGGUAAAAAGACAGUUAAGCAAAAAGUAGAUUAGCCAUUAGAUCCUUAGUAUAGGAGUAAAAUCUAGAUACUAAAAGUUAUAUCGAAAAUGGUUUGUUUAUGGUGUUGAAUCUGUGAUAGCUUUAAGGGAAACUGGGAUUGGAUACCCCAUUAUUUUUAGCUGUAAAUUUAGUUUAAGCUUACCGGAGUACUACGAAUAAAAAGUUUAAAACUCAAAGGGCUUGGCGGUGUUUUAGACCUCUCAGGGGAACCUGUCUCAUAAUCGAUAAUCCACGUUAGACCUAACCUUUUGUAGCAUGUCAGCUUGUAUACCGUCGUCGUCAGGUAACUUCUUAAAAUACAGUAGUUAGCUCGAUAAUUUAGUUAAUUAACACGUCAGAUCAAGGUGCAGCUAAUAAAGAGGCGAGGAUGGGUUACAAUUACAUAUUUGUAAAUACGAAAAAACACUUGAAAUAAAAUGUUUCAAAGGAGGACUUGAAAGUAAUUUUAGUUAUAUAAAUAGAAUGAAUCUGGCUCUGAAGCGUGC